rnacentral:rRNA from 1 species
GGGGGGGGGGGGGGGGGGGGGGGGGGGGGGGGGGGCGGGCGGGGGGGGGGGGGGGGGGGCGGGCGGGGGGCGGGCGGGGGGGUAAGGCGGCGGAGCGUGCCCGGGCGUGGGGGGUGACUACGCGAAAGAGGAGCGAAUACCCCCUCCGAUCUACGGCGGCGAGCGGGGGACCGGAAGGCCUCGCGCGCUUGGAGCGGCCGAUGCCGGGUUAGGUAGUUGGUGGGGUAAAGGCCCACCAAGCCGACGAUCUGUAGCCGGUCGGAGAGGACGACCAGCCGCACUGGGAGUGAGACACGGCCCAGACUCCUACGGGAGGCAGCAGUGGGGAAUUUUGGACAAUGGGCGCAAGCCUGAUCCAGCAAUGCCGCGUGGGGGAAGAAGGCCUUCGGGUUGUAAAGUGCGUUUGUACGGAACGAAACGGCUCUGGUUAAUACCCGGGGCUAAUGACGGUACCGUAAGAAGAAGCACCGGCUAACUACGUG